rnacentral:lncRNA from 1 species
CUUAGAAAGCUUGUAAAAAUAAGCUAAAACAAAUAUAUCAUAAAUUAUUUUCAUAAGCUCUCAAUACAGUCUCAUUAGUACUUGUGUCCGUAGAUAAACUCAAAUAAGUAAAUCAAAACCAACCCCUAAUAGAGCAAGAAAUUGUUUAACCACAAAUAAAUACAACAAGUUUGAACCAAGAAAAAUCAUCAUCAAUACAUAAACCUUAUUCACUCACUUCAAACCAUGCAUAAAUUAGUUAACUUUUCCACAAUAGGUUCUAAUCUCUCCAAAGUUUCCAGUAAGAGGCUUUAUAUUACCCAUCUUAAUCAUGGAAGCUUUAAAAUCUCUUGCAAAAGCAUCUGAGUCUCUACUAUAAAGUUCCACCAACAUAUCACUUUCACUUCCAUCUCCCUUAAAGAGUUCUUGAUCAGAAUGGAAGAGACCUAUUUUACUAACCAAAUUUUUGUAGUAAGAAUUAUCAAAUACUUGAGGAGUGAGAAAAUCCAAUGCUUCAAAAUUGUCAUCACCACCAUGUAAAGGACAAUUAUCUUGUAAGCAUGUUGCAAAGUCAGGGUCUAUAUUGGUGUCAUUGUAAAUCCUUUCCCUAAAGGUAGAACACUUAGCCAUUCCAAUUGUGUGAGCACCAGAAAGUGCUACAAGAUCUUUAAGGUUUAGGCCUUGAGACUCAAAGUUAGAAACAAGUUGUGAAAGAUUGAAAAGUUGUGAAGGAAGAUAUGAUUCUGCAUCUUUCAUUGAAGCAUUUCUUGCAUCUCUUCUUCCUAGUAGCACUUGGUACCAAUAGCUUGGACCUCCUAACUAUUAAACCAAAAAAAAACAAAGUUAUGUGUACAUCAUUUUUUAUGUCCAACUUGGUAUUUUUAUAGAAAGAAGUUUAGUGUAUGAGAAAAACUAGAUAAAAUUUGGCCCCUGAGAAAAAUAAAAAUAACUUUUUAAUCUUUGAUAAAAAUAAAUGGAGACAACUUAGACCCUACAUAAACCACCGGCUUUUUUAUUUUAUAAGAACCAUAUGUCACUUUUUUUUUUAAUUCGGUAUCCGAUCUAAGAACCGACUAAUCCGAUUAGACCAAUCCUACCACCCACUUACGGGAGCUCUCAUUUAAAGGCAAAGCAUAGCUGCGUAUGGACUUAGCCCACCAAAAUUGACAUAAGGAGGAAUCGAACCUAAGACAUUGAGAGAAGCACACUCCAAUAUCUCAAGCCAACCACUAGAUCAACCCCAAAUGAGUUCCAAUAUAUCACUUUUAAUUAUAUACGGAGACAAAAUUGUCGUAUUUUAAUUACUGUCAAGACUUAAUUGUCUCUUUUGAAACAAUAUCACCAUAAAAUGAACUCAACUUUAUGACGGAUAGUAGUUCAAAAAGGGACUAAUUGUCUCGAUUUAUUUUUUCAAUGACUAAAAAGUAGAUUUUAAUUUUCUUAAGACUCAAAUUGAAUCUCAUAAUUUUUUUUAGAGAUUAAAAUGAGUAUUCACUAUAUGAACUAUUAACAUGUUUAGAAAUUUAUUUAUAAAUUAUGUUAAUCUAAAGACCAAUUUAAAAAAUUCUAAAUAGAGAUCUAUAUAUAAAUAACCAUAACCAUAUAACUGAGAUAAAUGUAGGAUUAAUUCUUCUUACAAUGGACACAGAAUCACGAGCAAUUACUGCUAAGAUAUCUGCACAUGAUACCACAGGGCCUUUGCAAGCUUUGUCAAGUUCUGCUUUAAUUAUAUCAACAAGCAUAAAGCCUUUAAGUGAAUCAAUAUUUCCUUUGGCAGUCUUUUCACCUAUGAAGUUAGGAGUGUCAUCCAGCAGAACUGAUCCAUCACACCCCUGUAAAUUUAAUUUUAUUAUUAUAACCAUAGUCAUUUAAGGGAAUAAUAAUAAUAAUAAUAAUAAUAAUAUAUGAACAAAUGAAAACUAUAGGAUAUAGAACUAGAAGUGACAUAAGAUCACAUGAAAUAUGCUAAGUUGUUUAUUACAAGUUUAUGUCUUGGUGCUUAAUUAAUUAUGAGAUUAAUUUCGAUGCACAGUCUUUCCUUCGGAAAAAAAUAAUUCAAUACUUGAAAAAAAAACGGAAAGAAUAACAUAGAAGUGUUGGUCGGUCUGAACGCUGGUAUAUAUAUAAAAAAAAAUUGGUGCAAUAGCUAGCAUGACUAUUUUUUAAUGCAUUCGAAGCGUGGUUCGGAUUAUAUUAUUGCAAAUACAUCUUUGUAUAUAUGUGUAAGUGUUGUUGGGUGUAUAAUUAACUUACAUUGACAAAACAGUCAUGGAAAUGCAACCUUAGUAAAUGUGCUCCCAUACGUGGUUUAAAAUCAAGUUUUUGUCGAACAAUUGUGUUAAUGAUAGACAAUGCUUGAGGGCAAACAUCGUUGUAAAAAUCAGGUGUUAGUUCUGCAUUGGAAUGAGUUGUAAGAAAUGUGGCCAUUAAGAGAACAAUGAAAUAAUAUUGGAUGUGAUGAAAAGCCAUUUGGUUUGUAUUGGCUCAAUCUCGACUAUAGAAAAGUAUUUAUUUGUGAAUUACUCUAUAAUAGAAUGUGGCAAUACUUUUCUUGAUUAUAUGUUG